rnacentral:misc_RNA from 1 species
AACCUUAUGGACCUGCGGGCGUAUACCUGCGGAGGGAUCAUUACCGAGUGUAAAUACUCCCAAACCCCUGAGAACUUACUUUGUUGCUUCGGCGGCGUAAAACCCGCCGAAGGCCCCAAACUCUUGUAUUUACAGUGUAUUUCUGAGUCGCAUAAGCAAAUAAAUCAAAACUUUCAACAAUGGAUCU